rnacentral:rRNA from 1 species
CCUACGGGUGGCAGCAGUGAGGAAUAUUGGUCAAUGGCCGUAAGGCUGAACCAGCCAAGUAGCGUGAGGGAAGACUGCCCUAUGGGUUGUAAACUUCUUUUAUGCGGGGAUAAAGGUGUCCACGUGUGGAUGUUUGCAGGUACCGCAUGAAUAAGGACCGGCUAAUUCCGUGCCAGCAGCCGCGGUAAUACGGAAGGUCCGGGCGUUAUCCGGAUUUAUUGGGUUUAAAGGGUGCGUAGGCGGAAGAUCAAGCCGGCGGUAAAAUUGAGAGGCUCAACCUCGUCGUGCCGUUGAAACUGGUUUUCUUGAGUGAGCGAGAAGUAUGCGGAAUGCGUGGUGUAGCGGUGAAAUGCAUAGAUAUCACGCAGAACUCCGAUUGCGAAGGCAGCAUACCGGCGCGCAACUGACGCUGAUGCACGAAAGUGUGGGUAUCGAACAGGAUUAGAUACCCGUGUAGUC